rnacentral:lncRNA from 1 species
GUGGGUCUGCCAGCAUGAGUGUUUCCUCUGGGCCUGGGCCUGGGCUGGGUCUGCUCCGUGUCCUUUUGACUGCGGAAGGUGGAACUUGCUUCAGACUAAUUUAGGAGGUCCCGGGUGGACCCAAGGAAAGGCAGGGCCAGCAGGAACGAGAACCUGGAAACCAUCAGGAGUGGAGAAUGCCAGUGAGCAGGUGACUUGUGCCUCUUUCUCCUGAAGUCGACCAGGGUUCUCCUCCCCCACAGACUGGCCCUGGCUGCCCUCGGAGCACAGGGUUGUGAAGCGGGCAGCCUGCAGCUUUGGAAUCCUCGCCCCUCUUUCAGCUCCUUCUCCUGAGGGAUGAGGCACUCCUAGGUCUCCAACUCAAGCCCCUGGUUCAGGAGAGAACCUGUAUGGCCAGCCUUGGUCAAGUGGCCGCUCGAGGCCCACAGCUGAGGCCUGGCAGGCAGGCUGUCCCUGCAGACGGAGCUACCAGUGCCUACCCUGUCGGGGGUGAAGAAAGUUCUCGGGGGGAUUUAGG